rnacentral:rRNA from 1 species
GACGAACGCUGGCGGCGUGCUUAACACAUGCAAGUCGAACGGUGAAGCGCCUUCCUUUUUGGUGGGUGUGGAUGAGUGGCGAACGGGUGAGUAACACGUGAGUAACCUGCCCCCUUCUUCUGGAUAACCGCAUGAAAGUGUGGCUAAUACGGGAUAUUCUGGGUCUGUCGCAUGAUGGGUCUGGGAAAGAUAUUGUUUCGGUGGGGGAUGGGCUCGCGGCCUAUCAGCUUGUUGGUGGGGUGAUGGCCUACCAAGGCGGUGACGGGUAGCCGGCCUGAGAGGGUGGACGGUCACACUGGGACUGAGACACGGCCCAGACUCCUACGGGAGGCAGCAGUGGGGAAUAGUGCACAAUGGGCGCAAGCCUGAUGCAGCGACGCCGCGUGAGGGAUGGAGGCCUUCGGGUUGUGAACCUCUUUCGCCAGUGAAGCAGGCCUGCCUCGUUUGUGGGUGGGUUGACGGUAGCUGGAUAGGAAGCGCCGGCUAACUACGUG